AGGGGCGUAGUUCCAAUUGGUAGAGCAGCGGUCUCCAAAACCGAUGGUUGGGAGUUCGAAUCUCUCCGCCCCUGCCA
rnacentral:tRNA from 1 species